AAAACUAUACUUUCAGGGACCAUUUCUAUCGUUGACUACUAGAGAAGUUUCUCUGAACAUGUAAAGCACCCAAAACCACGAGACGGAGGCAUAGGGUUCUCUCCUGAGUGUGAAGCCAGCUUUUUGGUGGUGUCUCCAUAACUGCCAGUAGCAAUUGAUGAUCGUUCUUGUCUUCCUUUGGAAGAGUAAGAGGGAGAGGGCACAGUCUGAGUGGC